GCUGGGUGUGGUGGUGGGCACCUGUAAUCCCAGCUACUCGGGAGGCUGAGGCUGGAGAAUCGCUUGAACCUGGGAGGUGGAGGUUGCAGUGAGCCAAGAUUGUGCCAUUGCACCUCCAGCCUGGGUGACAGAGUGAGACUCCAUCUUUU
rnacentral:SRP_RNA from 2 species